ACCUCUGCUGGAUAAUGCUUGGAUAUGAUAGGGAGAAGUGAUGUGUUAAUCAGUUCUGGGAGUUAAAGGGUUAAAAGCAACCAUCUUAGUUGUGUAUGAAUAUGUAUAUCAUUUUUUGGCUGACCAGGUAAAACUUAAACAUUAAAGUUUCUAAGUAGAUAAUUGUUUAUGAAAGGAGGUUUUUUUUUUAGUAAUCUUAAAAGCUAGGUAGGUAUUUAUCCAUGCAUAUCACAGUACAUAAUUUUGUUGCUGACAUGUGGUUGAUUAUUUACCUUUCAAUGAAAUUUAAACUGUAAAGUAACAACUUUUUGCUGUUUUGUUUAAGAUCUCCAGAAGGCUGAUCAUGACCAUCAUUAUAUAGGAUGCUGGAAUUUGGGGUCAAGUUGGUUGUUACAAAGCUUUGAAUAACACCAGGUUCCCGAGGUUCCUGUCUUUGAGGAUAUAAUUUCAAAUCAGCAAUGCUGGGAGGGACACCCUGUUGCCUGUGAGGAAACAAUUCCAAAAAAGCAAAACUAACCUGGAAAAAGCUAUCACCUGUUCAAUACUUACGUCGUGUUGUUGUUGUGCCUGAUUCACGGUACUCUGUGAAUCUAGAGAAAGAGUAUACUCAGCACCAUAGAAAUGUGUAGCUGAACAGUGCCAAAGAUCACCUGACUGAAUCUGAUUUCACCCUCAGGUAUUACAUAGCUGGCAAGCAGCUCUCGUUAUUAGCACCGCAGGACGCCCUUUUCUCCGCCCGCGGGAAGAUUGGAAGCGAGUCAGGGAGAGAGAUUUGCCAGAAGUCUGGAACUACUCUGAGACCCAUAUUAGCUCAAGGCCUUGUAAUUUCCCGCGGAGGAUGAAGCGCUCGUGACGAAGCGAGGGCCUGCUGGCCGGCAAGGCAUCUGGAAUCCAGAGCAUUCUCACAAAGACAUCUGGCAACCGCACAACUUAAAGGAAGGGUGAAGUCGAGGUCAUGCAUAAAUUAAAGUGAUCAGAAACAUGAAGGGAAAGCUAAAACCAAAGACAACAAAUGCGAUUGUCUGCACACUGUUGAAUGGAAGUAUCAACCUUAAAAUCCUCGCUAGUCAGAUGCAAAUGAAGUCGAGAUAGAUCACAUUUUCUGACAUGGAAGGCAAAAGAAACGCUUUCUCUAAGUUUUGGAGGAAACUAGCACUUGAAGAAAUUCUGUAAAUUUUCAAUACUCUAUACGUUGUUAUUUGUUUGUUCUCACUUUCCUCUAGUUUUCCACUAGUCACUACUUUCCACGAGCUAUUUCUUGAAUCUUCGGUUAAGUUUGAUUAGCCGCCGAAAGGCCUUCAUAAAAAUAUGCGCACCAGGAGUUACAGUGGAUCUCAUUGCACUGCGUCAAUCCUUCUAGUGUCGGAUUAUCGAAGUGCCCAGUGUCUGUUUAAAGUGAGGAAAGACGUUGAGCCUUCUAUGAACCAGUAAUUUCUGUAAUGUCUUGCAAUUAAACUCUUUCGUUAUAAUG